rnacentral:piRNA from 1 species
UGUUUCUAGCCUGAAGCUGCAGAGCCUCAA